AGUAGGUAUUANGCGGNUNGCUCUCUNUCNNCGUGUGCNCCUNUUACACAAGGCUUGGUUGCCAUNUGNUGCCUGUUCGCUCAGCCUCCGUUGCUUCCGUGUAGAUNNNUCUUGNGGCUUNUAGUCCCCUGCANUACGUAGCUGUCUUACCGCGUUAUUUCUAUUCUUGCCAGCGNANUAUGNCCGGGNGACUCGUANAAGUACUUGCCGGGGUCUACUCGGAGGAAGGUGGGUACCGAGGUCAACGNUCAUCAUGCCCCUNUAUGCCCAGGGCUGCAUNACACGCUACAAUGGCCGGUACAGAGGGCUGCAAUCCCGUGAGGGUGAUGCGAAUCCCACAAUAGCCAGGUCUCAGUUCGGAUUGGAGUCUGCAACUCGACUCCAUGAANUCCGGAGUUGCUAGUAAUCCCGGAUCAGCACNCCGGGGUGAUAUACGUUCCCGGGCCUUGUACACACCGCCCGUCACACCACGAAAUGUCGGUAACUACCCUGAAGCCGGUGGCCCAUACCCUUUUGGGAGGGAGCCGUCGAAGGUGGGAUCGGUGAUUGGGGUGAAGUCGUAACAAGGUAGCCGUACCGGAAGGUGCGGCUGGAUCACCUCGGUU
rnacentral:rRNA from 1 species